rnacentral:rRNA from 1 species
ACGGGUGAGUAAUGCAUCGGAACGUAUCCCGUAGUGGGGGACAACCCAGCGAAAGCUGGGCUAAUACCGCAUAUGCUCUACGGAGGAAAGUGGGGGACGCGCAAGGGCCUCACGCUAUGGGAGCGACCGAUGUCCGAUUAGCUAGUUGGUGGGGUAAAGGCUUACCAAGGCGACGAUCGGUAGCUGGUCUGAGAGGAUGAUCAGCCACACUGGGACUGAGACACGGCCCAGACUCCUACGGGAGGCAGCAGUGGGGAAUUUUGGACAAUGGGGGCAACCCUGAUCCAGCCAUGCCGCGUGCGGGAAGAAGGCCUUCGGGUCGUAAACCGCUUUUGGUCGGGAAGAAAGGGUUCGGGCUAACACCCUGGACUGUUGACGGUACCGGCAGAAUAAGCACCGGCUAACUACGUGCCAGCAGCCGCGGUAAUACGUAGGGUGCGAGCGUUAAUCGGAAUUACUGGGCGUAAAGCGUGCGCAGGCGGUGAGUUAAGUCUGAUGUGAAAGCCCCGGGCUCAACCUGGGAAUGGCAUUGGAAACUGGCUCGCUGGAGUGUGGCAGAGGGGGGUGGAAUUCCGCGU